rnacentral:snoRNA from 1 species
AUCCCAUGAUGAGGGCACUUAUGAAGUAAUUCUUUAAAUCUCUCUCAUGCCUCGUACAAGGAUUCGUCAUCCAAUUGUUGAAAAAUGGUUAUCUCAUUUUGCAGCU